CUAUAAGAGUUAGUCACUGUCGUUACCCUCACUAGAGGAUACGGGAAUACUAACGUUGA
ncrna:unclassified sequences Transposase-1 RNA